UUUUCCCUGCAGUGUUUGUUAAGGCUCAUAUUCUUUGAACCAAUUCCUAGUAUCUGGUUGUAAACCAAAGUGAUGCUGUUGUGCGCUUCUUAAAAAAGAGGUACCUGAUGCAUACGGUUAGCAACCAUCUUGAACCUUAAGGUUCAAGAUGACAGUCUGACGGCAUUUGCGGGGAAGCU
rnacentral:other from 1 species